CAUAUAAGUAAGUGGUGGAAGAAAACAUAAACAUGAUUCUUUAAGUAAUGGCGAAUGAACAAAGACAUAGUCAUUUUGAAAAUUGUGGUCCGUGAUCAUGAAUUGUAAUAUUCAAAAUGCAUUGCUAACAAAAUUGCAUAUGUUAGUUUAUUGGAAAGAACAUUACAAAGGGUGAAAAUCCCAUGUGUCAUGUGUAUGUUUUGUGUACAGUGUGCAUUUCAUGAUUCACAUUCAUUGACAAUUGAAUGUAAAGCGAAUGGUAAACUUCAUUUAAACAUAAAUAUGUUGUUGAAAACUUAUAUCGAACAAAUACCAUGAGGGAAAUGUGAAAAGGAUUUUGAAAAGAAAAUUAAAAGAGCUUACAAUUGCUGGAUUGAUAAGCAAACAAAACACACAUGUGUAUGUGCAAGAUUGUUGUCAUGUUGUGCAAUUCAUGCAAAUUAACAUUGCUUUGGUUUUUGUGUAAUUUUGUCAGCUUUGGAAUUGAGAAUGAUUUUUUUGAGUGUGAAUGGAUUGUUGUUUGUUAACAAAGGAAUGCACUUUCAAAAUCAUUGUUUGAUUUGUCAAUCAAGUUUGUGGCGUGUGUUGUGUGUCAAAUUUAAUUAUAUAAUUCACAAAACACAUGAAGUUUGAGCUAUUAAGGCAAUUCUUGUUUUGUUUGACCCGUCUUGAAC
rnacentral:rRNA from 1 species